GAUGAACGCUGGCGGCGUGCCUAAUACAUGCAAGUCGAGCGAACAGAUGAGAAGCAUGCUUCUCUGAUGUUAGUGGCGGACGGGUGAGUAACACGUGGGUAACCUACCUAUAAGACUGGGAUAACUCCGGGAAACCGGGGCUAAUACCGGAUAAUAUUUUGAACCGCAUGGUUCAAUAGUGAAAGACGGUUUCGGCUGUCACUUAUAGAUGGACCCGCGCCGUAUUAGCUAGUUGGUAAGGUAACGGCUUACCAGGGCGACGAUACGUAGCCGACCUGAGGGGGUGAUCGGCCACGCUGGAACUGAGACACGGUCCAGACUCCUACGGGAGGCAGCAGUAGGGAAUCUUCCGCAAUGGGCGAAAGCCUGACGGAGCAACGCCGCGUGAGUGAUGAAGGUCUUCGGAUUGUAAAACUCUGUUGUUAGGGAAGAACAAAUUUGUUAGUAACUGAACAAGUCUUGACGGUACCUAACCAGAAAGCCACGGCUAACUACGUGCCAGCAGCCGCCGUAA
rnacentral:rRNA from 1 species